GGGAACAUGCCUUUCAGUAAGGAACAACGCUUGGAAACGAGUGCUAAUACCUUAUACGCCCCAAGGGAAAGAUUUAUCGCUGAAAGAUUGGCCCGCGCUAGAUUAGUUAGUUGGUGAGGUAACGGCUCACCAAGGCUACGAUCUAUAGCUGGUUUGAGAGGAUGAUCAGCCACACUGGGACUGAGACACGGCCCAGACUCCUACGGGAGGCAGCAGUGGGGAAUAUUGGACAAUGGGGGCAACCCUGAUCCAGCGAUGCCGCGUGAGUGAUGUAGGCCUUAGGGUUGUAAAACUCUUUCAGUAGGGAUGAUAAUGACAGUACCUACAGAAGAAGCUCCGGCUAACUCCGUGCCAGCAGCCGCGGUAAUACGGAGGGAGCUAGCGUUGUUCGGAAUUACUGGGCGUAAAGCGCGCGUAGGGGCUUUGCAAGUAGAGGGUGAAAUCCCGGGGCUCAACCCCGAACUGCCUUCUAAACUGCAG
rnacentral:rRNA from 1 species